UACGUAGGGUGCAAGCGUUGUCCGGAAUUAUUGGGCGUAAAGAGCUCGUAGGCGGUCUGUCGCGUCGGCUGUGAAAUCCCGAGGCUCAACCUCGGGUCUGCAGUCGAUACGGGCAAACUGGAGUGUUGCAGGGGAGACUGGAAUUCCUGGUGUAGCGGUGAAAUGCGCAGAUAUCAGGAGGAACACCGGUGGCGAAGGCGGGUCUCUGGGCAACAACUGACGCUGAAGCGCGAAAGCUAGGGGAGCAAACAGG
rnacentral:rRNA from 1 species